rnacentral:rRNA from 1 species
CGUCGCCGCGGUAAUACGAAGGGUGCAAGCGUUACUCGGAAUUACUGGGCGUAAAGCGUGCGUAGGCGGUGGUUUAAGUCCGUUGUGAAAGCCCUGGGCUCAACCUGGGAAUUGCAGUGGAUACUGGAUCACUAGAGUGUGGUAGAGGAUAGUGGAAUUUCCGGUGUAGCAGUGAAAUGCGUGGAGAUCGGAAGGAACAUCUGUGGCGAAGGCGACUAUCUGGGCCAACACUGACUCUGAGGCACGAAAGCGUGGGGAGCAAACAGGAUUAGAUACCCCCGUAGUCCCUGUCUCUUAUACC